GUCCAGACUCCUACGGGAGGCAGCAGUGGGGAAUAUUGCACAAUGGGGGAAACCCUGAUGCAGCGACGCCGCGUGAGCGAUGAAGUAUUUCGGUAUGUAAAGCUCUAUCAGCAGGGAAGAAAAUGACGGUACCUGACUAAGAAGCCCCGGCUAACUACGUGCCAGCAGCCGCGGUAAUACGUAGGGGGCAAGCGUUAUCCGGAUUUACUGGGUGUAAAGGGAGCGUAGACGGCGGUGCAAGCCAGAUGUGAAAGCCCGGGGCUCAACCCCGGGACUGCAUUUGGAACUGUGCUGCUAGAGUGUCGGAGAGGCAGGCGGAAUUCCUAGUGUAGCGGUGAAAUGCGUAGAUAUAAGGAAGAACACCAGUGGCGAAGGCGGAUGACUGGACGGCAACUGACGGUGAGGCGCGAAAGCGUGGGGAGCAAACAGGAUUAGAUACCCCCGUAA
rnacentral:rRNA from 1 species